rnacentral:rRNA from 1 species
CAGUCGCCGCGGGAAUACGUAGGGUGCGAGCGUUAAUCGGAAUUACUGGGCGUAAAGCGUGCGCAGGCGGUUAUAUAAGACAGUUGUGAAAUCCCCGGGCUCAACCUGGGAACUGCAUUUGUGACUGGCAAGCUAGAGUGUGCCAGAGGGGGGUGGAAUUCCGCGUGUAGCAGUGAAAUGCGUAGAUAUGCGGAGGAACGCCGAUGGCGAAGGCAGCCCCCUGGGCCAACACUGACGCUCAUGCACGAAAGCGUGGGGAGCAAACAGGAUUAGAUACCCCAGUAGUCCCUGUCUCUUAUAC